CCCUGUUGAGCUUGACUCUAGUCUGGCUUUAUGAACUGACUUAGGAGGCGUAGAAUAAGUGGGAGGCUUGCCAACGGUGAAAUACCACUACUCUUGACGUCAGUUUACUUAUCUCGUUGCCUAGAAACGGUGAUGGUUCGUCCAUCACUUCAAUUCUGGAAUUAAGCGUGGCCCGCUCCGCGGUGCCCGUGACCUAUGCGAGAGACAUAGUCAGAUGGGGAGUUUGGCUGGGGCGGCACAUCUGUUAAACAAUAACACAGGUGUCCUAAGAGAAGCUCAAAGAGAACAGAAAUCUCUUGUAGACCAAAAGGGGAAAAGCUUCUUUGAUUUUGAUUUUCAGUACGAAUACAAACUGUGAAAGCAUGGCCUAUCGAUCCUUUAGUCUUUGGAACUUUUAAGCUAGAGGUGUCAGAAAAGUUACCACAGGGAUAACUGGCUUGUGGCAGCCAAGCGUUCAUAGCGACGUUGCUUUUUGAUCCUUCGAUGUCGGCUCUU
rnacentral:rRNA from 1 species